GUAACACGUGGCCAAACUACCCUCUGGAUCGGGAUAACCUCGGGAAACUGAGGCUAAUACCGAAUAUCGCUCUCAUCCUGGAAUUGGAGAGAGCACGAAACGCUCCGGCGCCAUAGGAUGUGGCUGCGGCCGAUUAGGUAGACGGUGGGGUAACGGCCCACCGUGCCGAUAAUCGGUACGGGUUGUGAGAGCAAGAACCCGGAGACGGUAUCUGAGACAAGAUACCGGGCCCUACGGGGCGCAGCAGGCGCGAAACCUUUACACUGCACGAACGUGCGAUAAGGGGACUCCAAGUGCGAGGGCAUACAGUCCUCGCUUUUCCCUACCGUAAGGUGGUAGGUGAAUAAGAGCUGGGCAAGACCGGUGCCAGCCGCCGCGGUAAUACCGGCAGCUCGAGUGAUGGCCAAUAUUAUUGGGCCUAAAGCGUCCGUAGCUGGCCGAACAGGUCUGUCGGGAAAUCCGCUCGCUCAACGAGCGGACGUCCGGCGGAAACCAGUUGGCUUGGGACCGGAAGACCCGAGGGGUACGUCCGGGGUAGGAGUGAAAUCCUGUAAUCCUGGACGGACCGCCGGUGGCGAAAGCGCCUCGGGAGAACGGAUCCGACAGUGAGGGACGAAAGCUUGGGUCACGAACCGGAUUAGAUACCCGGGCAGUCCAAGCUGUAAACGAUGCUCGCUAGGUGUGGCACUGGCUACGAGCCAGUGCUGUGCCGUAGGGAAGCCGAGAAGCGAGCCGCCUGGGAAGUACGUCCGCAAGGAUGAAACUUAAAGGAAUUGGCGGGGGAGCACUACAACCGGAGGAGCCUGCGGUUUAAUUGGACUCAACGCCGGACAUCUCACCAGCACCGACAGUGUGCGAUGAAGAUCAGUGUGAUGAGCUUAUUGGAGCCACUGAGAGGAGGUGCAUGGCCGCCGUCAGCUCGUACCGUGAGGCGUCCUGUUAAGUCAGGCAACGAGCGAGACCCGCAUCCUUAAU
rnacentral:rRNA from 1 species